UCGAGGAUCUUCGGCAAUGGGCGCAAGCCUGACCGAGCGACGCCGCGUGUGCGAUGAAGGCCUUCGGGUUGUAAAGCACUGUCGAGGGGGAGGAAAGCCGAAAGGUUUGACCUAUCCCUGGAGGAAGCACGGGCUAAGUUCGUGCCAGCAGCCGCGGUAAGACGAACCGUGCGAACGUUGUUCGGAAUCACUGGGCUUAAAGGGCGCGUAGGCGGGUGACCAAGUCAGGGGUGAAAUCUUUCGGCUUAACCGGAAAACAGCCCCUGAUACUGGACGUCUUGAGGGAGGUAGGGGCAUGUGGAACUUCUGGUGGAGCGGUGAAAUGCGUAGAUAUCAGAAGGAACGCCGGUGGCGAAAGCGACGUGCUGGACCUUCUCUGACGCUGAGGCGCGAAAGCUAGGGUAGCGAACGGGAUUAGAUACCCCCGUAGUCC
rnacentral:rRNA from 1 species